CUUUGUCCCAUUUUGUGUGCUUCCACCUGAUUGGCUCUUACCUUUCACCUGUUUUGCAUAUACCUAUCUUUCUGUGAUUGGAAGGGGGCCAAAUCUUCAUUUACAUAAAUUGAAACAUCAUUCUAGCUCCUGAUUGGUUGUGGGCCAAGCCUUCACUUCUGCCUCUAAUUGGAGCUUUAUGUUAUCAUGUCUCUUUCUGAAUGGUGCUUUUUCCAAAAUGGCCUGCAGACCACUCAGUGCACUCCUUAUUCCUAGUCCAUAAAAACACCAAACUUAGUACCAGAGUCAGCAACCCUCCUUCUGGUCCCCUCUUGCUGCUGAGAGCUUUUCUGUCCCUUAAUAAAUCCCUGUGUUACUCACUCUCCUGUGUCCACGUUGCUUAUUCUUCUUAGUCAUGGGACAAGAACCUGGAACUCACUGAAAAGCAGGAGUGAAGGAGCUGUAAUGGUGUAAUGGUCCCACUCACCGAGCUGCUUGUGGCAAGGGUCAAAGAACUGUAAUAUUCCCUCCUGCUCACUGAACAAUGGGAGUGAAGAAGCAGCAACAACAGCACCAGAGGGUUGAUUUGAAAAUGGUGAAGAAAGAAUUGGAAUGGUGGGAAAAUAUCUAGAUGCCUGUCAGUCUGCAAGAAGAUCAUCUUAGUGUCUCCAGAAACCACCGUCCUUAAGAUAUUUCUACUUGAGCAACAGGAAACAAUGCUUUCACUUCCAGUGGGAUCAUGGGCCGUAGUAAGGAUGUUGCUGAAGUUGUUUGUGGCAUUAUUUUCUGGUCAGUGAGAGCAGCUCUUCGCAGAAUGAAAAUAUCCUGAAGAAGCAAAGCUAGAAAAUUGAAAAACAAAGACUAGGUGAUAUCGCUUAUUUAUCCAUGCCUAAAUAUAGCACUUCAUUCAAUAUUUAGUUCCACAAGGCAAUAUAUUUCCUUCUCCUUUAUUCUUAUUUUUUCCUUUUGUUUCUGUUAUUUUAAAACAAAAUCAAUCAUGCUAACAAGAUCUUCCUUUCAUAGUCACCCAGCAAAGGGUUUAUACACAUUAAUUUUGCUAUAUAUAGCAAAAUUUUAUAUAUUAUAAAAUUUAUACAUGUUAAUUUUGUUAUUUAUAAUAUUAUUAAUGUGUAUAAACAUAAGUUAACAUUACAGAUAUCUACAUGUAUAUAUACACAUACGCUAGUAUAUGUACAUACAGUACACACACACAUAUCAAGCAGUCCUCCCACUUUGACCUCACAAAGUGCUGGGGUUACAGGCAUGAGCUGCCAUACCAGGGCUAUAUCAUUUUGGAUCUAUCUUUUCAUUUGUCAUUAUAUCUUUUUAGGUCUAUUCAUAUAAAUCUAAUUAUUUUCAAAAGUAAAAUGAAGACCAUAAUGUAUUCAGUAGUUUCCUUCUUUACAAACUUUUAAGUUUCUUCAGGUUUUUUAUAGAUUGCAAACCAUGCUGAAAAACACCAAACAUGGCACUGGUUUUAACAAGGUAGGUAAGUACUGGAGUUUACUUAGAAGAGAAGUUGGCAAUAAAGUAGAAGUAGAAGUUGAUAUCAGACUAUCACAACUAGCUUCACCAGCUUGGGUAAUUUACUAAGAUUCCUUGAGCCUUGCUACAGUAACUUAAAAUUAGAUAUUUAAACUAUCAAAUACAGUAAAUAAGUUUCCAAUCCUUUGCACUAUUGGCUUAUUGAAAUGCUGUAUUAAGAGAGAUUCUAAAGUCAUAUUUUACCACAGCAGAAAAUGUAUUAUAAAAUAAGAAAGAAGUGGCAAAUGUGGCAUAUAUGUGUCACCUAGUUCCAACUUAAUAUUUUAUUACUAUAACUUAAAAGAUGGUAUGAGAACUGAAAUGUUAUAUGAGAGUCGUUUAAAGAAACUAUUGCAGUUCGGCUUAGGAAAAGAGAAAACUAGAAGAAUAUAUUCUCUCAAAUAUUUGACUUGAGUUCCUUAACAGAACAGAACUAGAAUUACUUGUUGGAAAUUACGGUGAGAUUUUGACUUCAAAAAGAAAAAAAAUUCUAGUAAUAAGAAUGUCUACUAAUCAAACAAGAUGCUUUUUUUGUUGGAUUUAUUGGCAAGAAGCUAGAUCACUACAGAGGCUGCUUCAGAAAUUACUUAUAUGAGAACAAUAAAAUGAAGAAUAUUUACUACAUGUCAGACACUAUGUUAAUAAUUUUCACAUACAUAACAUGAUAGUAGGUGAUUAGAAUCAAUUUUCACACAUAAUAGACACUCUGUAUCCAUCACGGUGGAGUAGAAGGAAAAAGUUAUUGAUCAGUCUGAGAAGACAAUAGUUUUGAAUGCAUUUUCAAACUAAUUUAUCCCCAUAAAUAAGCCAACUUUAAUUAAUUCACGUACACUUUCAGUUAAUGUUCUGUCAGAAUUUCUCUUACAAAGUUUCAUCUCAAACCCUGUCUGACAUAUCAAGGAAGAGAAAAGCAAAGCUAUGAGGUAAAACGGAGUCAACCAGCUGCCAACUUUAAUACAUUUCUUUUAUUCUCAAUUGUCUUAGCUCACUUAGUGAAAAACUGCAGCAAAAGAAAAAUAGUCCACUAGGGAAAAAUAAUGUUGCAAAGCAGUAAAGUCUUUAAAUUUCAAAGGAAAAAAAGUUAUGUAUAUUAAAUAGAAAUACUGGUAUGUUUUUAUCACAAAUAUGAGCUAAUUUCUUUUUAAGCCUAUAUUCUUUCUUUUUUGUUUUAUUCUUAAUUGACACAUAAAAACUGUACAUAUUUAUGGGAUUUAGUAUAAUGUUUCAAUACAUGUAUAUAAUAUAUGAUAUUAGGACAAUUAGCAUAUCAGUCACCUCAAACAUUAAUAAUUUUUUAUGGUGAGAACAUUUAAAAUCCUCCCUUCAAGCUAUUUUGAAGUAUACAAUAGAUUACUGUUAACUAAAGUCACCCUACUGUGAAAUGGAACAUUAGAACUUAUUCCUCCUAUCUAACUGUAACUCCUUACCCAUUUCCCAACGUCUCCACUCUCCCCCUACCC
rnacentral:lncRNA from 10 species